AGUGAACGCUGGCGGUAGGCCUAACACAUGCAAGUCGAACGGCAGCACAGUAAGAGCUUGCUCUUACGGGUGGCGAGUGGCGGACGGGUGAGGAAUACAUCGGAAUCUACUUUUUCGUGGGGGAUAACGUAGGGAAACUUACGCUAAUACCGCAUACGACCUACGGGUGAAAGCAGGGGAUCUUCGGACCUUGCGCGAUUGAAUGCGCCGAUGUCGGAUUAGCUGGUUGGCGGGGUAAAGGCCCACCAAGGCGACGAUCCGUAGCUGGUCUGAGAGGAUGAUCAGCCACACUGGAACUGAGACACGGUCCAGACUCCUACGGGAGGCAGCAGUGGGGAAUAUUGGACAAAGGGCGCAAGCCUGAUCCAGCCAUACCGCGUGGGUGAAGAAGGCCUUCGGGUUGUAAAGCCCUUUUGUUGGGAAAGAAAAGCAGCAGGUUAAUACCCCGCUGUUCUGACGGUACCCAAAGAAUAAGCACCGGCUAACUUCGUG
rnacentral:rRNA from 1 species